rnacentral:tRNA from 1 species
GGUAGGAUGGCUGAAGUAAGCAUUAGACUGUAAAUCUAAAGAUAAAGGUUAUACCCCUUUUCUUACCA